GGUUGAUCCAAAGCAAAUUGGUAGACUGGAAGUUGGAAACACAAAAGCAAAUCAAUCAAGACAUUCUUGAUGUAAAUAUUUGAGAAAAUUAGUGCUAAAUAAACUGAAGUGGUAUAAAUUUUAAGAACAAGGAAAAGAGCUAGAGCCUAAUUUACUGCCUAGGUUAUCCACUGUAUUUUACAAGUUGUAGUAGCAAGGAUCCUAUAUUCUGCCUAAGAAGAGGAUUUCGAAAUUGUUACUUGCUUCUUUUAUACCUCCAUGACACCAAAGCAGUAUCUAAGAAGAUGCAUAACCUUGUGACAGAUCUCGUGGUGUCGGGACAGGCUUCCCAAUCAGAGUCAGUGAACCAUUUUAGUUGGAGUGUGGAUCGAGCUGGAAAGAAUAUGCCUUGAGCCGGAGCUGACUUGAUAUAUCUUAGGAGUCUUUAUGUGCAGCUUGUAAAUGUAUGUCUGUGGAGCAAUCUAGAAAUUGAGAUAACUGCUGUGUAGCAAAACUGAUGUCUGGUCUUGUAAUGGUGAGAUAUAGCAAUUUUUCAAUUAAUCUUCUAUAAUAAGU